ACGCGAGGAACCUUACCAGGUCUUGACAUCCCAUUGACCGCUAUGGAGACAUAGCUUUCCCUUCGGGGACGGUGGUGACAGGUGGUGCAUGGUUGUCGUCAGCUCGUGUCGUGAGAUGUUGGGUUAAGUCCCGCAACGAGCGCAACCCUUGUUCUUAGUUGCCAUCAUUUAGUUGGGCACUCUAAGGAGACUGCCGGUGACAAACCGGAGGAAGGUGGGGAUGACGUCAAAUCAUCAUGCCCCUUAUGACCUGGGCUACACACGUGCUACAAUGGAUGGUACAAAGGGCAGCAAAGCGGUGACGCCUAGCAAAUCCCAUAAAACCAUUCUCAGUUCGGAUUGUAGGCUGCAACUCGCCUACAUGAAGCUGGAAUCGCUAGUAAUCGCGGAUCAGCAUGCCGCGGUGAAUACGUUCCCGGGCCUUGCACUCACCGCCCGU
rnacentral:rRNA from 1 species